UUACGGGAGGCAGCAGUAAGGAAUAUUGGUCAAUGGACGCAAGUCUGAACCAGCCAUGCCGCGUGCAGGAUGACAGCCCUACGGGUUGUAAACUGCUUUUGUACGGGAAAAAACCCCCGGUCGUGAAUCGGGGUUGAUGGUACCGUAAGAAUAAGCAUCGGCUAACUCCGUGCCAGCAGCCGCGGUAAUACGGAGGAUGCAAGCGUUAUCCGGAUUCAUUGGGUUUAAAGGGUGCGCAGGCGGAAUGAUAAGUCAGUGGUGAAAUCCUACGGCUCAACUGUAGAACUGCCAUUGAUACUGUCGUUCUUGAGUACACUUGAAGUGGGCGGAAUGUGUCAUGUAGCGGUGAAAUGCUUAGAUAUGACACAGAACACCGAUCGCGAAGGCAGCUCACUAAUGUGAAACUGACGCUCAUGCACGAAAGCGUGGGGAUCAAACAGGCUUAGAUACCCCGGUAGA
rnacentral:rRNA from 1 species